rnacentral:rRNA from 1 species
GAUGAACGCUGGCGGCGUGCUUAACACAUGCAAGUCGAACGAAGCACUUUACUUGAUCUUUUCGGAGUGAUUGUUUUGUGACUGAGUGGCGGACGGGUGAGUAACGCGUGGGUAACCUGCCUCACACAGGGGGAUAACAGUUGGAAACGGCUGCUAAUACCGCAUAAGCGCACAGUACCGCAUGGUACGGUGUGAAAAACUCCGGUGGUGUGAGAUGGACCCGCGUCUGAUUAGCUAGUUGGCAGGGCAACGGCCUACCAAGGCGACGAUCAGCAGCCGACCUGAUAGGGUGACCGGCGACAUUGGGAAUGAGACACAGCCCAGACUCCUACGGGAGGCAGCAGUGGGGAAUAUUGCACAAUGGGGGAAACCCUGAUGCAGCGACGCCGCGUGAGCGAAGAAGUAUUUCGGUAUGUAAAGCUCUAUCAGCAGGGAAGGAGAAGUGACGGUACCUGACUAAGAAGCACCGGCUAAAUACGUGCCAGCCGCCGCCGUAA